GCUGGGUUAGCUUAGCUGGUAGAGCGUUGGAGUACAAAUCUAGCGAUCGCGGGAUCAAGUCCCACAAGCAGCC
rnacentral:tRNA from 1 species